rnacentral:rRNA from 1 species
UACGUAGGGCGCAAGCGUUAUCCGGAAUUAUUGGGCGUAAAGAGCUCGUAGGCGGUUUGUCGCGUCUGCCGUGAAAAGUCCGGGGGCUCAACUCCGGAUCUGCGGUGGGUACGGGGCAGACUAGAGUGAUGUAGGGGGAGACUGGAAUUCCUGGUGUAGCGGUGAAAUGCGCAGAUAUCAGGAGGAACACCGAUGGCGAAGGCAGGUCUCUGGGCAUUAACUGACGCUGAGGAGCGAAAAGCAUGGGGGAGCGAACAGG